rnacentral:rRNA from 1 species
CGAACGCUGGCGGCGUGCUUAACACAUGCAAGUCGAACGGUAAGGCCCUUCGGGUACACGAGUGGCGAACGGGUGAGUAACACGUGGGUGAUCUGCCCUGCACUUUGGGAUAAGCCUGGGAAACUGGGUCUAAUACCGAAUACACCCUGCUGGUCGCAUGGCCUGGUGGGGAAAGCUUUUGCGGUGUGGGAUGGGCCCGCGGCCUAUCAGCUUGUUGGUGGGUGAUGGCCUACCAAGGCGACGACGGGUAGCCGGCCUGAGAGGGUGUCCGGCCACACUGGGACUGAGAUACGGCCCAGACUCCUACGGGAGGCAGCAGUGGGGGAAUAUUGCACAAUGGGCGCAAGCCUGAUGCAGCGACGCCGCGUGAGGGGAUGACGGCCUUCGGGUUGUAAACCGUCUUUCACCAGGGACGAAGCGCAAGUGACGGUACCUGGAGAGAAGCACGGCCAACUACGUGGCAGCAG